rnacentral:lncRNA from 1 species
CAAAAAGGGACUGAUGGCUACCUGGGAUGACAGCGAAUCUGACUCAUCAUAAUCAGACUCCGAUGAACAGGCUAAUGUGGCACUCAUGGCUACCACAUCCAAGAACACUUCAGAUGAAGAAUCUGAAUCAGAAGAGGUAUUUUCUGAACUCUCUCGAUCUGACCUAGAAUCAUGUCUGUCUGAAACUCUAAGCUCAUAUCAGAAACUCAAACAAAA